UUUUGAAACCACCAUUGAAUCACUAUCGUUUUGCAGACUUUGCACAACUGUACAGGAGAGUGGCCUUUCUACAGCACAUCCUCUUGUCCUAAAAUGAAUUGUGCUUGUUACAGGUGUUUAGACUUGUUGAUGUUUACUAGGCCAAAUGUGUACAUUUACUUAAAAAUAUCUGUACCUGAUGGAUGUGUCGUGGAUACAGUGGCCAGAUUGUGCCCCUGUCAACAGCGAGCAGUUGAUGGAAAGACUAGCUGUGUUGCUACUAAGCGGCUUUUACUUUGGUGAAGUUGGCUCUGUUGUUUUAAAUGGUAAAAAGUAAACUAAUGAAUUUUAAAAGACUCGUGGCUAGCUUAGCAUGAAAGAGACCUUUAACGCUAUAUAUCUGUACAUUUUAUUGCAUUAGUUUCAAAUCUAGGAGAGAGGCGGCACUGUAAACUGAAGUCAAAUAAAUUCAGCUCUUAAUGAAU
rnacentral:lncRNA from 1 species